rnacentral:rRNA from 1 species
UACGUAGGGUGCAAGCGUUAAUCGGAAUUACUGGGCGUAAAGCGUGCGCAGGCGGUUUUGUAAGUCAGAUGUGAAAUCCCCGGGCUUAACCUGGGAACUGCAUUUGUGACUGCAUGGCUAGAGUGUGUCAGAGGGGGGUAGAAUUCCACGUGUAGCAGUGAAAUGCGUAGAUAUGUGGAGGAAUACCGAUGGCGAAGGCAGCCCCCUGGGAUAACACUGACGCUCAUGCACGAAAGCGUGGGGAGCAAACAGG